CCAAAUGGUCCGGAGUCGGUGGGUUACCACAAUUUGAAACCCUCCCAUCGGCACUUCCUUGACCGUUGG
rnacentral:sRNA from 1 species